rnacentral:rRNA from 1 species
AUGAAUAUUGCCCUCCUCUCCCGUUGGCUCUGGCGCAUUUCGCAAGGGCUCGGUGGCCUUUGGUUAGACAUCAUCCGGAACAAGUACCUGCAUGGACAACCCCUGGCCUUCUGUCAAAGGUCAGGGGGCUCCUAGUUUUGGCAGUCAGUCAUCCAACUGCUUCCCGUCCUCCGCAUUGGGACCUCCAUCAGUGUCGGAGCGGGCGCAGAGAUGUUGUUCUGGUUUGACCGUUGGGCAGGUGACGCUCCCUUCGUGGCUCGCUUCCCCGACCUCUUCUUCAUUGCCAUCAUCCCCUUGAUCUCAGUUGAGAGGGCCCUUAUUGAAUUAGGGUGCCUUGCUAUCCAGAGGCCAUUUGGGCCUCCGGAAACCGCCGCUUGGCAGGAGCUGCUUGAUUGCGUCGCGCUCCAUGAGACGGUAGUGGAUGCUGGCCUGGAUGAGGUGCGGUGGCGUCUUGAGCCUUCGGGCUAAUUCUCCACCAAGUCCCUCUACAAGGCCAUUGCCCCCUCCCCUCCCCUCCCCCUUGUGGCGGUGUGGUCUAUACGUCUACCACUGAAAAUCCGGGUAUUCAUGUGGUAA